GUUGCUCGGAAUUAUUGGGCGUAAAGGGUAGGUAGGUGGUCUUAUUUGUCUGAUGUGAAAGCCUUGGGCUUAACUCAAGAAGUGCGUCAGAAACGGUGAGACUAGAGUGCUGGAGAGGGUCGUGGAAUUCCCGGUGUAGCGGUGAAAUGCGUAGAGAUCGGGAGGAACACCAGAGGCGAAGGCGGCGACCUGGACAGUGACUGACACUCAACUACGAAAGCGUGGGGAGCAAACAGG
rnacentral:rRNA from 1 species